rnacentral:rRNA from 1 species
GACGAACGCUGGCGGCGUGCCUAAUACAUGCAAGUCGAACGAAGGGGGGACGGGUGAGUAACACGGGGGUAACCUCCCAUCAGAGGGGAUAACACUUGGAAACAGGUGCUAAACCGAUAGUGAUGGAUGGACCCGCGGGGCAUUAGCUAGUUGGUGAGGUAACGGCUCAACAAGGCCACGAUGCAUAGCCGACCUGCGAGGGUGAUCGGCCACACUGGCACUGAGACACGGCCCAGACUCCUACGGGAGGCAGCAGUAGGGCAUCUUCGGCAAUGGACGAAAGUCUGACAGAGCAACGCCGCGUGAGUGAAGAAGGUUUUCGGAUCGUAAAACUCUGGUGUUAUAUCAGCGGUAUCUAACCAGAAAGCCACGGCUAACUACGUGCCAGCCGCCGCGGUAAUUC